UACAGAGGGUGUAAGCGUUAAUCGGAAUUACUGGGCGUAAAGCGUGCGUAGACGGUUAUGUAAGUCGGGUGUGAAAGCCCCGGGCUCAACCUGGGAAUGCCAUUCGAGACUGCAUAGCUAGGGUGCGGAAGAGGGAAGCGGAAUUUCCGGUGUAGCGGUGAAAUGCGUAGAUAUCGGAAGGAACACCAGUGGCGAAAGCGGCUUCCUGGUCCAGCACCGACGUUCAGGCACGAAAGCGUGGGGAGCAAACAGG
rnacentral:rRNA from 1 species